rnacentral:rRNA from 1 species
CGCGGGAGAGAACUAACAAGGAUUCCCCUAGUAACUGCGAGUGAAGCGGGAAAAGCUCAAAUUUAAAAUCUGGCGUUCUCUUUUGAACGUUCGAGUUGUAAUCUAGAGAAGCGCUUUCCGCGCCGGACCGUGUACAAGUCUCUUGGAAUGGAGCGUCGUAGAGGGUGACAAUCCCGUCUUUGACACGGAUCGCCGGUGCUUUUGUGAUGCGCUCUCGAAGAGUCGAGUUGUUUGGGAAUGCAGCUCAAAACGGGUGGUAAAUUCCAUCUAAAGCUAAAUACAGGCGAGAGACCGAUAGCGAACAAGUACCGUGAGGGAAAGAUGAAAAGAACUUUGAAAAGAGAGUUAAACAGUACGUGAAAUUGUUGAAAGGGAAACGAUUCAAGUCAGUCGCGUCGCCCGGCAAUCAACCCUUUGCUAAAGAGGGCUCACUUUCCGGGUCGACGGGUCAGCGUCAAUUUUGACCGUCAGACAAAGGCGCGAGGAAUGUGGCAUCUUCGGAUGUGUUAUAGCCUCCCGUCACAUAUGAUGGUUGGGAUUGAGGAUCUCGACACGCCGCAAGGUCGGGGCUUUUUUACCGCCAACUUACGUUGCUCGGGAGGUGGGCUUAUGGGCUGGAACGAACCGGCUUGGAAACACGGACAAGGGAGUCUACAUUGCUGCCAAUGGUUGGGUGGGAAAACCCGACGCCAAAUUGAAAUUGAAACUGGUGGGAAUCUUGGUCUUGAGGACCACGAACGCCCGGACAGGACUUUUUGCGACGAAUCUGCGGUGGACAUGCAUGUGGGACCCGAAAGAUGUUGAACUUAUGCCUGAUAGGGUGGAGCAGAGGAACUUCUGUGAGGCCUCGUAGCGAUUCUGACGUGCAAUCGAUCGUCGAUUUGGGUUAUAGGGCGAAGACUAUCGAUCAUCUAGUAGCUGUCUGCGAGUUCCUCAGAUAGCAGACUCCGCUGUCAGAUUAUUGUGUAAGCGAUGAUAGAG